CCUACGGGAGGCAGCAGUGGGGAAUUUUGGACAAUGGGCGCAAGCCUGAUCCAGCAAUGCCGCGUGCAGGAUGAAGGCCUUCGGGUUGUAAACUGCUUUUGUACGGAACGAAACGGUGAGCUCUAAUACAGUUUGCUAAUGACGGUACCGUAAGAAUAAGCACCGGCUAACUACGUGCCAGCAGCCGCGGUAAUACGUAGGGUGCGAGCGUUAAUCGGAAUUACUGGGCGUAAAGCGUGCGCAGGCGGUGAUGUAAGACAGAUGUGAAAUCCCCGGGCUCAACCUGGGACCUGCAUUUGUGACUGCAUCGCUAGAGUACGGUAGAGGGGGAUGGAAUUCCGCGUGUAGCAGUGAAAUGCGUAGAUAUGCGGAGGAACACCGGUGGCGAAGGCAAUCCCCUGGACCUGUACUGACGCUCAUGCACGAAAGCGUGGGGAGCAAACAGGAUUAGAUACCCUGGUAGUCCACGCCCUAAACGAUGUCAACUGGUUGUUGGGUCUUCACUGACUCAGUAACGAAGCUAACGCGUGAAGUUGAACCGCCUGGGGUUGGUUACGGUCCGCGAGUUAGAACGUUAAGUUAGAGUUAGAGGCGNGAGACGNGCGACGGCGACGACGAGGGAGGUAGG
rnacentral:rRNA from 1 species